UACGUAGGGUGCGAGCGUUGUCCGGAAUUAUUGGGCGUAAAGAGCUCGUAGGCGGUUUGUCGCGUCGACUGUGAAAACCCGAGGCUUAACCUCGGGCCUGCAGUCGAUACGGGCAGACGUAGAGUUCGGUAGGGGAGACGUGGAAUUCCUGGUGUAGCGGUGAAAUGCGCAGAUAUCAGGAGGAACACCGAUGGCGAAGGCAGCUCGCUGGGACGGUACUGACGCUGAGACGCGAAAGCGUGGGGAGCAAACAGG
rnacentral:rRNA from 1 species